AACGAACGCUGGCGGCAUGCCUAACACAUGCAAGUCGAACGAGACCUUCGGGUCUAGUGGCGCACGUGUGCGUAACGCGUGGGAACCUGCCCUUAAGUUCGGAAUAACUCCCCGAAAGGGGUGCUAAUACCGGAUAAUGUCUUCGGACCAAAGAUUUAUCGCCUUUGGAUGGGCCCGCGUUGGAUUAGCUAGUUGGUAGGGUAAAAGCCUACCAAGGCGACGAUCCAUAGCUGGUCUGAGAGGAUGCUCAGCCACACUGGGACUGAGACACGGCCCAGACUCCUACGGGAGGCAGCAGUGGGGAAUAUUGGACAAGGGGCGAAAGCCUGAUCCAGCAAUGCCGCGUGAGUGAUGAAGGCCUUAGGGUUGUAAAGCUCUUUUACCCGGGAUGAUAAUGACAGUACCGGGAGAAUAAGCUCCGGCUAACUCCGUG
rnacentral:rRNA from 1 species